UGAAAAUAAAUUGACAAUGAAAAUAUCCUAUUUAAAAGCUCCCACCUUAAGGUACCCUAGGUACUACCUUAGCUAAACAUGAACUCAACCUCUCCCAAGCCUUGGGUCUUCCUUUGUGACCCUUAGAGCAUCCCAUUAUGUGGUUCUCUUGAGUGCUCAGGUGGUCCACCAAUGGUUUUUUGGGACUGUACCUUAGGUACACCUUAAUGACCUUUAAGUAUUACCUUAAGAGACCCUAGGUACUACCUUAACUAAACUUGAACUCAACCUCUCCCAAGCCUCGGGCUUUCCUUUGUGAGCCUUAGAGCAUCUCAUUAUGUGGUUCUCUUGAGUGCUCAAGUGGUCCACCAAAGGUUUUUUGCAAUUGUACCUUAGGUACUACCUUAAGAGCCCUUAGGUACUACCUUAAUGGCCUUUAGGUACUACCUUAAGGGACCCUAGGUACUACCUUAGCUAAACAUGAACUCAACCUCUCCCAAGCCUCGGGUCUUCCUUUGUGACCCUUAGAGCAUCCCAUUAUGCGGUUCUCUUGAGUGCUCAAGAGGUUCAUCAAAGGUUUUUUGGGACUGUACCUUAAGUACUACCUUAAGGGCCCUUAGGUACUACCUUAAUGACCUUUAGGUACUAGCUUAAGGGACCCUAGGUACUACCUUAAGGUAAACAUGAACUCAACCUCUCCCAAGCCUCGGGCCUUCUUUUGUGACCCUUAAAGCAUCCCAUUAUGUGGUUCUCUUGAGUGCUCAAGUGGUCUACCAAUGGUUUUUUGGGACUGUACCUUAGGUACUACCUUAAGGGCCCUUAGGUACUACCUUAAUGGCCCUUAGGUACUACCUUAAGGGACCCUAGUUAUUACCUUAGCUAAACAUGAACUCAACCUCUCCCA
rnacentral:lncRNA from 1 species